CAUUGUUACAAACAAUUUAGCUGUAACGCAUUUGAAAGAGAAUAGAAUCACCUACUUUCCCCCGUUGGCCUUCUAGAUUGACCGUACUGUUCGCCAGCAAAAGCAAAAAAGUUCCGGAUGAAAUCGAGGAUGAAAGUGAGAAAAAGAAGGAUGGGGAUGACAGCAGCAAUAUCAACAAACAUUCUGCUACAGUUGCUGGCACUUGCACUCAUCAUUUGGAGAUUAUGGAAAAGCUCGAUGCUAUAAUGAAGAAGCAGGAAGAGUUCGAGAAAAGGAUGAAUUUAACCCUUCGCUUUUAUCAUACAAUCGAAGAUGCGGUGAAGAAAAUCGAACGAGCUUUUCUUUAUAUAAUCCACCAACUUCACAAUUUGGUUGGAAUAAAUGAAAAUUAAAAAAUCACA